AAGCUCGUAGUUGAAUUUCGGGAUUGACGUGUGAUGGUCGUGUGCCUUAAGGAGGGGGUAUGAACUGUUGCUGUUGAUUUCUCACCUUCUGGAGAAACUUGGAUGUCCUUAAUUUUGGGUGUCUUGCGGAUCCAGGACCUUUACCUUGAAAAAAUUAGAGUGUUUAAAGCAGGCAUUUUUGCUCGAAUACAUUAGCAUGGAAUAAUAGAAUAGGACGGCAUGGUUCUAUUUUGUUGGUUUCUAGGAUCACCGUAAUGAUUAAUAGGGAUAGUUGGG
rnacentral:rRNA from 1 species